GGACGAACGCUGGCGGCGUGCCUAAUACAUGCAAGUCGAACGAGCUCUCCUAAAUUGAUUUUAUGCUUGCAUAAAUGAUUUUUAGAUUCGGAGCGAGUGGCGAACUGGUGAGUAACACGUGGGUAACCUGCCCCGAAGCGGGGGAUAACAUUUGGAAACAAAUGCUAAUACCGCAUAAUUAGUUGGAACCGCAUGGUUCCAACUUGAAAGAUGGCUCUGCUAUCACUUUGGGAUGGACCCGCGCCGUAUUAGUUAGUUGGUGAGAUAAAAGCCCACCAAGACGAUGAUACGUAGCCGACCUGAGAGGGUAAUCGGCCACAUUGGGACUGAGACACGGCCCAGACUCCUACGGGAGGCAGCAGUAGGGAAUCUUCCACAAUGGACGAAAGUCUGAUGGAGCAACGCCGCGUGAGUGAUGAAGGUUUUCGGAUCGUAAAACUCUGUUGUUAAAGAAGAACAAGUGUUAGAGUAACUGUUAACACUUUGACGGUAUUUAACCAGAAAGCCACGGCUAACUACGUGCCAGCAGCCGCGGUAAUACGUAGGUGGCAAGCGUUGUCCGGAUUUAUUGGGCGUAAAGCGAGCGCAGGCGGUUUUGUAAGUCUGCUGUGAAAGCCCUCAGCUCAACUGAGGAAAGUGCAGUGGAAACUACAAAACUUGAGUACAGAAGAGGAAAGUGGAACUCCAUGUGUAGCGGUGAAAUGCGUAGAUAUAUGGAAGAACACCAGUGGCGAAGGCGGCUUUCUGGUCUGUUACUGACGCUGAGGCUCGAAAGCAUGGGUAGCGAACAGGAUUAGAUACCCUGGUAGUCCAUGCCGUAAACGAUGAAUACUAGGUGUUGGAGGGUUUCCGCCCUUCAGUGCCGCAGCUAACGCAUUAAGUAUUCCGCCUGGGGAGUACGACCGCAAGGUUGAAACUCAAAGGAAUUGACGGGGGCCCGCACAAGUGGUGGAGCAUGUGGUUUAAUUCGAUGCUACGCGAAGAACCUUACCAGCUCUUGACAUCUUCUGCCAACCCAAGAGAUUGGGCGUUCCCUUCGGGGACAGAAUGACAGGUGGUGCAUGGUUGUCGUCAGCUCGUGUCGUGAGAUGUUGGGUUAAGUCCCGCAACGAGCGCAACCCUUAUUAUUAGUUGCCAGCAUUUAGUUGGGCACUCUAGUGAGACUGCCGGUGAUAAACCGGAGGAAGGUGGGGACGACGUCAAAUCAUCAUGCCCCUUAUGAGCUGGGCUACACACGUGCUACAAUGGAUGGUACAACGAGUCGCGAAACCGCGAGGUCAAGCUAAUCUCUUAAAGCCAUUCUCAGUUCGGAUUGCAGGCUGCAACUCGCCUGCAUGAAGUUGGAAUCACUAGUAAUCGUGGAUCAGCAUGCCACGGUGAAUACGUUCCCGGGCCUUGUACACACC
rnacentral:rRNA from 1 species